rnacentral:ncRNA from 1 species
UCUGGGAGCUGGAAGCUUCGUCUUUAAUCGGAAAAUAAGCACAGAAAUUUUGUCCAAACAUUCUUUGCAUCCUCGACUGUUCAGUGUUGUUCAGAGUACCAUAGCGCGCCCUACGGAGUUGUACAAAGUCAGCAACCGUUUUGGGGCACAAGUAUAGGUAACACAGGACUGAUGACGGGGUGGGGCGCGCAGUGAACUGGUUUUCUAAAAAGAUUGGAAGAUCCGGCCAAAGAAGGUGAUAGCCCUGUUCAUUCGUUCCCAUGGUUCGAUCCUUCCCAGUAAAACGCGGCGUGUUCGAAUGAUGAUCGCUUUUACGCUAGAAUGGGGGACCACCCUCUAAGCCUAAGUAUUCCUCAAUGACCGAUAGCGUACAAGUACCGUGAGGGAAAGGUGAAAAGAACCCCAAUCGGGUGA